GCUGGGCGUGGUGGCGUGCGCCUGUAGUCCCAGCUACUUGGGAGGCUGAGGCAGGAGAAUCGCUUGAACCCAGGAAGCGGAGGUUGCAGUGAGCUGAGAUUGCGCCACUGCACUCCAGCCUGGGUGACAGAGCAAGAAUCCGUCUCAA
rnacentral:SRP_RNA from 2 species